AGAGAGGAUGUUAGUUGUGCCUGGAACAGUCUCCUGUUCACUAUCUCUUUCCUAGGAAGGUUGAGAGCUUUGCAGUCCCACUUGUAGAGGAGCCAGAUGUUAACCAUGGCGAGGAUGACGGUGAGCCAGAAGAUGUAAAUGUACCAGCGCCACAAUUUCAUGAGGAACUUGUGGCUGCAAAUUAGUCCAAAAAAGUCAACAUCUCCAUCACCUUGUAUUUAUUGUAGGCACCCACAAUGUAAGGCCUCUCAACAUUAAUGUAGGUUUUGGUGGCUUCACUGAAUCAACAUCACCUGACAAUCCAAGUUCAGAUUUGGCUUGUACUCCGUUGACACUUCAAAGUCACAGAGCAUGUCAGAGAUUUUAGUUUUAACCACAAUUAGAAACCCCAUGGGUUUGGCUGGCCUUGCAUGUAUUGCUUAGUUUAGAUGAAUUUCCCAUUGCAUGUUUUGUGAGUUCAUGGCCAUGUGGCCAGGCCUGUAUGCACAUUUACCACCCAAUAACAUUGUGAGGCUAAACAAAAUGAAUCAUUGAGUAUGUUGAUGAGGUCUUUAGGCAAAAAACCCUUACAGGGUGAAGCUUAAUUUGAUAUGAUCCCUUUUUGAGUCGAAAUGGAAAAGCAUAUCCGACUUCAAUUGUUGUUUGGUCUCCCAGAUGGUUUGGUUGAAAUUAAAUCCAGGAACACUGUUUUAAAGUACAGUGGUAAGAGUGGACCUAAUCAAAAGAAAUAUGUCUUAUAAACCAUACAAACUUAUUUAGUCAUGCAGACUGAGACCAGGUGCUCACACUGUCUUCGAAAGUGUCUGUGAAAGGUGCUAUAUUAAUAAAUAUGAAUAAUGUACUAACUUACUUAUUAUGCAGUCACACACACAAACAGAUAAAUACAAGUACACAAGAAGACAAGGAUUUCAUAACUGUGAGAGGGUGUACACACAGACUUAAACUGAUAAUUUAGCAGGAGGUAGUUUGGAUGAUGGGCUGCAUGUAUUUUGGCCUUGCACACCACCUCUUCUCUGGUAUACAAUUAUCAACAGAGAAAAGUGAAAUGGACGUUUUAUAGUAGCCUGAAGCCAGUUAUUUUCACACAGCUUAGCAUGGCUGCUCUUGGCACUGUGCGCAUAAGCUUGGCAGAGACGCUCUCCUGUUCUUUUUCAGUUGUGCGUUUUCCUGUAUUCUGCUCUUUCUUUUCUUUGUGAAAUGUUUUUCCUCUUGUUUUUUGUUGCUCUGAGAAACAUUUAAACCCUGUCUUCCUUUAUAGACUUUGGUCCGUGGGCAGCUGAUAGAAACAGUGGGCCAGCUAAUCAUUUGCGGAAUUUGGCGUGGAUAUAAGAUAGGCCCAGAUUGGGAAUGCACAGAGCCAGAGGAAUGGUAAUUACUGUGGAAAUCAAACACCAUCAAUUGUGAGGAGGUUUUUUCUUUAACAUUUCACAGUGUCCCCUCUCUCGCUUCCCAAAGCCCAUUCUCAUUUUGCACCAACUCAAACGACCCUCACUUCCACUCCCUCAGACCCUCAGCCCUCCCUCCCACCUUCCUUAUUUUUUUCCACUAUUUUCCACCACACUUUGUUCCUCUAUUUCUACUUGCCUCUCUACCCUCCCAUUUAUUUUCCUUUAAUUUUCUCUGCCUCACUCCACUCUCUCACUUUAUCAAUCUUCACUUUGUUUUUCCUGUCUUUCGCUGUACACCCAUUUAUACUUAAUGCCUUGGCCUAAAUCGUUUCAUUUCCCAUAUGUGCUCCGCCCACACUCAAUUACACACCAACACACACGCACACACACACACACACACACACACACACACACACACACACACACACACAGGCACUCACACAAAUGACCGCACAAGACGAAUGACCCUCAUCACUGUACAUCUGGAAUGUAAAAACACAAAGGCGUCCGAAACAUUUGUUACACACUCCAAAUGCUUUUAAAGACUCUGACUUACAUUGCGCUCUGAUAUGUAGAAAGUAAUUACAAAUUAAUACUAAUUCUCUUCAUUCACUUGCCUUGUAAGAUGAUAAAUGAGCUGAAGUAUUUCUUUCUUCCCUUGUCAAAACCACACAAAUGCUUUGCAUGACCUCAGAGGUUGUCAGAGGAUUGUGGGGUGACAGUUGAUUACAGGUCCAUUGUAAAGUCUCUGCUCCCCAGUGGGUAGUUACGCUGUCAGCCUCACAUAUACCCACAGUGGGAUACAUGACACUAGCCAGCCUCAGUGAAAUCAUAGGCACUUUUUGACAGUCAACUGCAUGUGUUCUUGAGCUUGCCUCCCACUGUGUUAGGCACGAGGGUGUAGAUACCAAAGUGCUGUUACAUAACACACACACUGUCAUCUUUUCAUUGUUUUUGUUUUUGACAAAAGGCAUAUAUGAAUUGGACAAAUAGGGCUUCUGUCAGGCGUAACUUUCAGGGAUAAAGAGCAGAGGGUUCCUUCAAGGGGGGGAGGCAGAGGUCAGGGCCAAGACUUAAUCCAUCUUCUCCCCCCGGUCCAGCUGAGUAAUGCUGUGGAUCACAGAUCUCUCCGGACAGUCUUUAAGUUUAGAUCUUUUCUGAUUUUAUUUAUUUACAGUAUUUAUAUGAUAUUCAUUUUUGUUACUGACUGGACUGAUAUUCAUUGAUGUAAAGAUCUCGAGGGAGUAUUUAAUGAGCACUCAGUGACCUCUGAAACUUAUCUCACAUGAGUCCCCUGUGCAAAGCCAGCCACCCAUUUGUGAGAAGACAAAUAGACGUAGGAAUCGAUGCAUUAAGGAAGCAAGAAAACUUGAACAGACGCAGAGACACGCACGCACGUCUGCACAACCGCUGGGCGGUUCAGGCAGUAACAGCGCUCCUUGGCAAGUGUCACUAAAGCACAGUUUAUCAGAGCAUAACAUUCACGCUUGCGUGCUUGAAACAAGCACUACCUGCUUCCUGCCCUCAGUAUAAUGAGACAAUCUGAGGAAAUCAAUUUUGCUGCAAUGGUGCAAAGCAUAGCAGAGUCCCAAACAUGCACAUGCACGAGCAGCAUGGGUGAAAUAGCAUGAAUUUAAGUAAUUUGGGUGUCCCACUGUUCUAACUUGGCACAAGGAGGAAGCAAUAUACCAUCCGUUUGCAUAGUAAUCUUUUUGCAGGUAAAUUUCUACAUUUUCAAGUACACUGACGCAAUGAACCUCCCAUAUUCACUCUCAGUCAGAGAACUUCAAUCACAUCAUCUGAUAAGGUAAAAGUAAAAAGAUCUUUCACCACACUAAUUGACCAUGUUUCAUCACUUCGAGGAGCAAGCAAGUGUAUCAAAAAUAAAUCAUGUAUUUGCAUACAAUACUUUCUGGGGGGGGGGGGUGGUGUGCUGAGAUCUAAACAAGUCAAAAUCAAAAUGCUGAAAACUGCACUGUCGCUUGGGCUAAAAUGCUUCCUGUUUGUGAAAGUGGGACUAUCAUAACAUCCUCUCUGCAUACAGAUGCAAACAGCAGACUAGAGAUUUAGUUAUACAAACAUCUCAGUCAAAAAUGCUUUUGAGGCAAAAGUGAUCUCAUUGAUUGGAACAGGUUGAGCGAAAGAGUCUAACUGCAACUGGAAAAUCUUAUUGGAGGCAGAAAGGAAACGAAUGAAAAUAUGGAAGAAAAUAGAAAAAAAAUGUUUUAAAUGUAAAGAUGUUUUAUGUUAAUUUAUUACCAUAUGAUUAAUAAUCUUGGAAAAUAGUCUUGCUAUUGUGGCUAGCCUCUCCUAAACUAAUUAAUUAAAUGACAUAAUUGUAUUUUUACUGUUACUGUAACUGACAGAAAAAUGCUUAGACUUAAGAUUUGCUAAGAUCUCCGUUGUGGGCUCCAAUUGCUUAGUGAACUUUUUUUUUCCAAUUUCCAAUUUUCUGAUACAGUAGAUAAAAACGCUAAGUUUAAGUCUGAGUUAAAUAUGUUCCAGGGCUUAAACAUGCUCCCAUAUUAAUCUGAUGAUAAGUCAAAUUUUCUGGUUCCCUCCCAGUUGGCAGGUAGCCGAGGCCAAUGACUGAGGAAUGUCCAUGUUCAAAUGAUGUAAUUGAUACACUUCAAGGUGAAGACCAUGAAUGUUGAUUGUAAAAACAUUUGCGAACUAAGGUUUUUAUUGCCAUAGUUGUUAAUAUCUUUCAGGAAAGUCAAAAAAGAGGGAUGCAUUUCAUAAGAACAUUCACUGUCGACCCUUUUAGGAUCAAACUUGGAACUUUUUUCUAAAUGUAACAGCAAUAUAUCUCAAUAACGAUGGCAUUGCUCUGUGGGUGACACGGACGCCAGUGAGCUGCUUUAUUAUUAUCUCAUUCUCAAUACACAUUCACUCAAAACAACCCAGAAGAGAACUACCCAGAAAAGAUGGUGUUUGACCCUAGGUCUCUUGGUAACCAUUCACCAGUGGUCAUCCAUGACCAGAUCAUAGUACAGGCGGACUCAUAAAGGUACAUGGGUAUCCACAUUGAUAUACUGUACAUUUAGUCUCAAAGAUCCCUGUGGAAGAUGUUUGCUCCAGGGUGCAGAAGAGGCUGUACCUCCUGAGAAGGCUCAGUACUGGAGUUCCUUUUUCUGCAUGUCUACAUUUAUUUAUUUCUGUGUCUCUGUGUCAGUGUAUGAAUGGUAAUCAGGUAGGCGAGCUUAACUCAAGCUGAAUUGGUUACAGUGGCAUGAUCAUCGAACCUACUACUUUUGGUCUUGACUUGGCCAGUACGACGGAGCUGCCUUUAGUUCAGUAUUAGCCUCUUAACCAAACAAAAGUAGUUUAUACUAAGUUUUACAGUACUCUGUACCAGUUAACGUUAAUCGUCGGAUCGCGAAGCCCUGUGUCUCUCCAGAUUCUGCGAGCUAGUGGAAAGUGUUGGUGGAGAUAUUGCAACUGCAGAAAUGCAGCGACUGACUAUGUCCAUUCCUGUUUACUCACAGGAGAUUUGGUUUAGUUUAGCGCUGAUAUGGAUUUAGAGGUUGACGCUGCUUUGUUAAACAAUCUCCAAGAUUGUAAUCAACAUUCUGCCAAGUCUGUCUGGUUUGCAUUUACUCCACCAACACAGUAUCACUCCCAGCGCGUCAAAAACCGGACCUUUGGCGUCAGUUACUGCCGCAAAAAGUCUCCCUUAGCGUGUCAGGUAGACGCAGGGGGCUUUCAACUAAUUCCAAUGUAAUUCCAUCCACGGCAAUAUUUGACGCUCAGAGCGAGUCAUGUGUUUCAAUGGGCAGCAGCACUACGAGCUUAUUGGUUGAAUUCACGCAUGUGCACACUUGCACUAUCGACGUACCAGUGCAGCUAGGAAGAGAAGACACAGAAGGUAAGUUUGAGUGAAUUUUCUUUGAAAGUCUCUUAAAGGGUUUAGCAACGUCUGUGUUAACAUUAUCACGGCUCUUGUCAAUUAUAUUCAUUCUUCCCUCUAAAUCACAAGACCGUACACAGCAGUUUUAACGACGGUGUUUAUUCUGUUUACACAGUUACCGUAAUGUCACCAAAACACACACAGCACUAUAUACACUGGCAGCAUGCUACAUACUCGUUGCUUCUAAUCAUUAAUAGUGAAUUAAACAAUAAGAUAGUCGACGAUCAGUUCAAAUAUGGGGUUAUUUUCCUUUAUUAUUAAUUUUUAUUAAAAUUCGAUUUUCUGUCAUCUUUCUAUCAAUUCCAUUUUAACAUAAAAUGUGUUGCGUAUGUGCAAUGUUCCUGCACUGAACAUUUGCACUGUAUAUAGACUAUAUGCAGUGCAAAUGUUCAGUGCAGGACAGUUUGACAGUCUUUAUUGAUUUCUCUCUGUGCCUAUGUGUCUAUGUGUCUCUAUGUCUCUCUCUCCCUCCCUUGAAAAAUGGCAUACAAGUUUGAGCUUGACCCCCAUGACCCCCAGUGCCAAGAUGGAAGACACCUUGCCAUUGGGUUGAUAAAUGAACCAAUCCGCUGACCCAGCUGAAGCCAGGAAUCGUGCAGAAGAUGUCAAACGGGCACUGUCUAGAGGGGAUACACCACAAAAGUCCAUCAAAAGGAGCGGCCAUGGACGUGAAUAGGCCAGUGGCAGACGUGGAGGCAGAUGUAGUGGCCUAUCUACAGAUAAUGGAUCAUGAUCACGGAUAUGCCACAGAAAAAGGUUUCCGGUUUCACGGAGGAUGCUGACGGCUGAUUCUGAAGAGACGCAGGCUGCGCUGCUGGUGCUCCGGGUUUCCCGUGGUUAAUGUCGGUGAUUGCAAAAUUUUUUUCUACUCAAACUGGUACCCCCUGGCUGUGGGGAGGUGGGACACCUAGUGAAAGCCUGCCCUGGGAGACGUCAGAGACCAGCUGAACCUGACAAGGGGAAAGAUCCACCAGGGGCCUGCCCACAGUUUCUGGGGACGACAACCACGAGUUGGAGGAGCCCCUGAGUGAAGAGGAGGUUUUCAGAGCACUACAGAGCAUGCAGGGGGGCAAAGGCCCUGGCAUCGAUGGUCUCCCCCCAGAGUUCUACAAGACUUUCUGGGAGGAACUAAAAACAGACAUUAUGGAUGUGUUCACCGAAAGUUUUAGGGACUGCUGGCUUCCGCAGAGUUGCAGGAGGGCAGUGUUAACUCUCCUCCCUAAGAAAGGUGACCUAAUGGACAUAAAGAACUGGAGGCCAGUCUCUCCGCUGUGUUCGGACUACAAACUGCUGUCCAAGGUCCUGUCCUCCCGGCUGAAAAAGGUGAUGAACCGGGUCAUCCACAGGACCCAGACCUACAGUGUGCCCGGCAGGUCCAUUGUUGACAAUGUGUCUCUCUCUCUCUCACUCUCUCUCUCUCUCUCUGCCCCCAUGUAUUUACAUUACGUCACUAACUCUGUUUUCUCUCUCUCCUUGUGUAUCUCUGACCCCAGAGCUGCAGGAUCCAAACCCGUCAUUAUUAUUUUUACUAUUAUUAUUAUUACUAUUAUUAUUAUUAAUAACAUCAUUGCAUUUAUAAGUGUCAGUUUUUUUUACUGACGAAAGUUCCGGUCACCAUGCCAGCUUAAACCAGUUAAACAAUACCAACUGUCCCCCUCUUCAAAAUUGCACUCCGGUAACCUCACCAAAGGAUGUAGACGUGCUUGGAACCAGGUCCUGCAACUCCUCCCCCACCUCACGCUGGAGUCAGGGAGAUCGCCUCGUGUUAACCCACGUUUAACACACCGCGGACCCCACGACAGAGAUGGCCGACAACGAAAUUUCCCCUUUCCUUUUUCUUCUUCAACUCAACUCGCUGGCCCUUCGCUGCCCAACAAAGUCUGUUCAGCCGCUGUACACUACGCUGCAUGCCAAGACAGCCUACACUCGCCACGACCGACAUCGGUCGCUCCGAUGCAAGGCAACCUUAUCUGGGCAGAGAUAGUUUAGCUGAUGUGUGUUUAUUAUAAGUUUGACCAUCGAGUAAACUUAUUGCUCAGGUGUUUAAUAAACCAUUUCUUUAUUAUGCUGUUAUAAGCCUAGACUGCUGGGGGAACUUAUAUCAUGAGCAUCUUUCUCCCUCUCCCGUUCUCUCCUUCUCCCUCUUUCUCUUC